UACCAGCACCCCGAGUGGUCGGGACGUUUAUUGGGCCUAAAGCAUCCGUAGCCGGUUCUACAAGUCUUCCGUUAAAUCCACCUGCUUAACAGAUGGGCUGCGAAAGAUACUAUAGAGCUAGGAGGCGGGAGAGGCAAGCGGUACUCGAUGGGUAGGGGUAAAAUCCGUUGAUCCAUUGAAGACCACCAGUGGCGAAGGCGGCUUGCCAGAACGCGCUCGACGGUGAGGGAUGAAAGCUGGGGGAGCGAAUGGG
rnacentral:rRNA from 1 species